UCCGAAGUAGCUCAAUGGCGGAGCAACCGGCUGUUAACCGGUAGGUUGUCGGUUCGAGCCCGACCUUCGGAGCCA
rnacentral:tRNA from 1 species